rnacentral:piRNA from 1 species
UGUCAUAUUGAAUGAGCUACCUAAGAU